ACUUAUUGUAUAAUAUCCAUGUAGAAAAGUGAAAAGAUGGUGGCUAAUCUCUUUGAUAAAGGGGUGAUGCCUAUGGUUAUAGAAGUUGCUCCUGGAAAGGAUUAACAAUUGUCAGUAUAUGAAGCAUUAUCGCUAAUGAUUGCUUUUGCAACAUUAGUUUUGCUGAUUGUUGACGA
rnacentral:sRNA from 1 species